rnacentral:lncRNA from 1 species
UUAACACUUUUAUUUUAUUUUAUUGUAUUGCUCUUUAUUUUAAUAUUUUAAUUUUUGUUCUUUAUUUUUUACUUUUUUAUUUUGUGCACAUUUGUGCUUUUUUGUAUAUACUUUGUAUAUAUCUAUUUUGUACAUAGCGGAGUAGUUAGGGUUAAGUGCAGGGUUAGGGCGGAGGUUAGGCUUAGGGUUGGGGUCAGAGUUAGGCUUGGGUGGACAUUUUAGCUAGUUAGCUAGUUUAGAGAGGAGGGUGGGAAUUUUUCCUGGAAGAAAUGGGCAGGCUGUAAGUAGGAUUCCUUCCCUUUCUCUUGGUCUCCUGGGGGGCGGUGGGUGGAGUCCUGGGGUCCCCUGCACAGCCUUGACUCUCUGGAAAUCGACCCGGCCAGUCUUCUCCAGAGAGCUCAGCUCCUCCACACACUUUCCCUGCCUUGCCCCUUUCUCUCCCCUCUCAUCAUUUACAUUUAUUUUGCAUCUCUCCCACUGCCCAAUGCCACCGGCCUUCUCCCCCUUCCUGGGGGUCUCUCUGGCUCCAAGGAAUACUCCACCACCUUUCUCAUGUUCUGCUUCUCUUCUGGGACACCUUGAUGCUUGGAGGACCCUUCUAGGGGUUUUGGGGGGGGGGAGCUCCGGGUGGGGAAGAGCAGGCAGGAGGGAGAAGGGGGCAAGGUAGACAUGGAGGAGGCAGCGUCUAACGCCUUCAUCUCUGCAGCACGAUGAGGCCCAAAUUCAGCUGUGAUAUGAUCAGUGCGAUCCUGAACAGGAAAUUGGAGGCUGUGCUGAAAGGGGCCAAGAAGGAGGAAGACAGAGAAGUAUGUCCUUUGUUUUGACUUCCCUUCGCAGACUCUUUCUUCUUCUUCAUCACACACUUGGAGAAUCCAACCCAGCAUUCAAACUCUCUUCUCUCUUUUCCUGCAGGAACUGAAGCGGCACUUCUGGCUCCUGCUGGGCAGUCUCCUUAUGGAAGCCCCCAAUCCUGGCACUCUCCUCCAGCUUCUCAGUGUAAGUGUCCCGAUGGCAUCAGGAGAGGUUUGGGCCCCCAUUAGAGAGCCAGUGUGGUGUAGUGGUUAAGAGCGGUGGACUCGUAAUCUGGUGAAAGGGGUUCGCGUCUCCGCUCCUCCACAUGCAGCUGCUGGGUGACCUUGGGCUAGUCACACUUCUCUGAAGUCUCUCAGCCCCACUCACCUCACAGAGUGUUUGUUGUGGGGGAAGAAGGGAAAGGAGAAUGCUAGCCGCUUUGAGACUCCUUCGGGUAGUGAUAAAGCGGGAUAUCAAAUCCAGACUCUUCUUCUUCCCAUCCCUUACCUAAUGGACUGUCCUAUUUCUGGAGCAUGGAGUCCCCUGUCCUGUUUGGCCCCCCAUUUGUCCCAUUUUUGAAGUCAUCAGAAUAGAAACUGGCACUUAUACAGUCACCGCUACUUGCUGGGUGCUUAGACACUUGAGUCUGCCCUGCCGCUUUGGCCCAGACUGGCCCCUGACUCUGCGACGCUCUUUCCUUGCACAGGACCUCCGAGGAUACACCCUUGGGGAAAGUGGGGAGCCUAAAAACCUGGUGGCCAGCAGCAUCUCUUCACUGCUGGCCUUUGCCCGAAGGUUCCCCCAUCUCAGAGUAAGUAGCUCUCCUUCAUAGAUUCAGUCCUUUGAAUCCUUCCAUAUCCCCAAGAGGCUCCCAAGGCUGCUCAUCCUCUGUAGUUGACAACACACCUAACUGAAAAAAACGGCUUACUCUUCUGAUGACAUCAGAGAAUUCUAGACUCUAGGAAUGUUGAGGGUGGCAGGAGAGGACAGAGUGCAUUCCCCUUUACACAGCAGAAAACUAGUUGCAAACUCGUGUGAGUUUCUUAAGAUAAUACACAAUUCAAUCUGGCUUGUCCAGGUUGAAAUGUGUUCUAAUAUUUUCCUGGUAAGACCCCUUGAAUCCCUCCUAAAAGAAUAAAGACACCACAGUCUUAUUCAUAAGCAAUAAACAGAAAGUUGACUCACGAUCAGGGAGAGCACAGUGUGAUCCCUGAAGGCAGGCUUUAGGCUUAAAGUUACAAACAUAAAAAAACAGGUUUACCCCAUAAGGGAGAUGACCUGGCAACCAGCAGUUCAUUCCAGGAAGUUCGCAGGACGAAAGGAAGAUGGAAAAGAGAGAGAGUGGCAGCACACCUUGGCCUUUUACCAGGUCUGGAAAGGUCACACACGCCUACUAGUCGCAUGCAAGAGGAAGGAUGCUCCAGGC